UACGGAGGGUGCAAGCAUUAAUCGGAUUUACUGGGCGUAAAGGGCGCGUAGGCGGCAUGACAAGUCACUUGUGAAAUCUCUGGGCUUAACCCAGAACGGCCAAGUGAUACUGUCACGCUAGAGUGCAGAAGGGGCAAUCGGAAUUCUUGGUGUAGCGGUGAAAUGCGUAGAUAUCAAGAGGAACACCUGAGGUGAAGACGGGUUGCUGGGCUGACACUGACGCUGAAGCGCGAAAGCCAGGGGAGCAAACGGG
rnacentral:rRNA from 1 species